rnacentral:lncRNA from 1 species
UUCUUCCUUAAUAAAUCCUAGCAUAGAAACAGUCCUAAAAGGAUCUUUGUAAAUCAUUCCAUCAACCAUCACCAAAGUAGUAUUUUCUGCCAUGAAAGCCAAGUGAAACUCCUUAAAAUCCAGUCCCGAAUAUGCCUCAAAACAAUUUGUUUCCACCAUUAUUUUAGCCAAGUUGGAGUUCAAAAUUGAGAGUUUUGUUCGAGUUGAGGGUGCUGAUCGAGUCGCUGGAUAAUUGGUUCUUUUUUUUCACUGUAAUCCCACAUUGGGAGAUUCUUUAUUAACUGAAAGUAAAUUUUCCUCAUUAAGGUCUGUUUUCUUAAUUUUCACUCUUCUUUCAUCUCUUUACAACUAGCUUAAUAAAUGCUCUUGUAUGACAUAUAUUUAUUUUGUGAUUAGUUUGAUUAUUUAUUCACCUUUCUUAAAGAACUUUGUCUCAUUCUUUAGUUUUGUGAUAAUAAAAUGAAUAAAUUAAUCAUCUUUUGGACUCCAAAUGGAAGUAGGCUUUGUCAUAGCCAGUUUAUCUUUUUUCCUACGUAAUUAUUGUUUGAUGAAGUGCUUCAUUAAUUAUUAUCGGUAUUUUGUUUUCUUAACUAAAUGGAAUAAAUAUUACUUAGAUUAGUUUUGUUAGUUUGUUUAUAUAUAGUUGAUUAGCAAAUAUCAAAGUUGAGAAAGUAUAUUCAAUAUUUAUUAAUAAGGAUAGGAACAUUAAUAAAGAUAUAUGCAUACUCUUGAGGCAUACCUUUGAAUAAGCCAGCUUUAAAUCUCACUAAUCUUCAAAUACUUAGUAUCAUGAAAACUAGAGUACAUCAUACCCUUUCUUCUAAACAAACUCCAUAACUCUUGGCGUCACAAUAAUCUCUAGCUUAGGAAAAUAAUAAUGAACACAAGUAGUAUAACUUUAGGCAUGCACUUUAUUAAUUAAAUCAUCGUAAUUGUGUACAUUUUUGCGUGACAUGAUUAUGACUCUCAAAAUAAAUUAAAGUAUGUGUUCGCGCAACUUCAACCAAACAUUUUUCUUAGAAAAUAAACAAAGCGUUAUUAAUUGUACACAUAUUUGCGUGGCAUGAUCUUUGACGUGCCAAAGGAAAAGAGUAUACGUACAUGUAAUUCAAUUGUUUAAUUAUGAACAAUCAAGUGAUUAAAAGCGGUUUAAAGGUAAAUACACAUAGGAUCUAAAGAUGAGUAGUUAAACAAUUUAAGCCAAGUAGUAAUUACUAAGCGACUGUGCUAGAACCACGGAACCCGGGAAUGACUAACACCUUCUUCCGGGUUAACAGAAUUCCUAUCUAGAAUUUCUGGUUCGCAGAUUUUAAAAAUAAAAUUUUCAUUGAUUUGAGAUUUUAAAAUAAACCGUCGACUUACCAAAUAAACUAUUCCAAGUGGCGGCUUUAAUAAAUAAAAUAAUUCCAUUUCGAAUAAUGUCACUUUAAUUGAAAAAACUCUCAUACCCCCUUGGGGCGAUAAAAAUGAGGUGUGACAGUUGAAGGAUUGCCUCAGCAAGUCGAAGCGUAUGAAUUUCUUUUAACACAAUCUGUUUUGCUUUUAGAUUCUACAGUUUGAUAAUGGUUGUUCUUUUUAUUUUUGCAGUGAUUGCGGUGUAUUUGCAUCAUUUAUCGUGUGAUGACCCAAAGGGGUCAUCAUCGUAAUUCUCGCUUCCACCCUGCUUUCGAGGCCAUGAAAACCUCUUAUUUGAUCGCCUCGAUUUGCAUGUUUCCGAGGCUUUUGUGCAUGUGGACACUAGUUUUACAGAAUCACACAAAGGGUUCAAGAUAUAACGGAUCCGUAAAUUCGGCAUGAUUAUGUAUUCUAUGCUCAAGUAUCUACAGAUUCCAAUCAUACCUUCA